GAGCGAGAGAGUCAAUGGUGUUGGGUAAGUAAGAAUCUCCCUCUUCAACAAAGCAACCCCCUCACCUGUAGAGAUACACACACAGAAACAAAGAUGGAAUGGUGCGAGUCGAUGCCUAAAGUGGAGCUUCAUGCUCACCUCAAUGGCUCCAUCAGAGAUUCUACUCUUCUGGAACUUGCCAGAGACUUGGGUGAGAAGGGUGUCUUAGUUUUUUCUGAUUUCGAACAUGUCAUCCUCAAAAGUGAUCGUUCUCUUGUUGAAGUGUUCAAGUUGUUUGACCUGAUCCACAUAAUCACCACUGAUCAUACGACUAUUACAAGAAUCACCAGAGAAGUUGUUGAAGAUUUUGCUUCUGAGAAUGUUGUUUACAUUGAGUUAAGAACAACUCCAAAGAAAAAUAAGUCAAUUGGAAUGAGCAAACGGUCAUACAUGGAAGCAGUUGUGGAAGGUCUGAAAAGUAUCGAUAGUGCUGAUGUUGCUUUCAUGCCACAUGAUGUUGCUGCCCAAAGUUUGUCAAAUUCUCUGUCUAUAGACAACACUAGUAAUGUAAUCCCAAGAAAAAGGAUAUAUGUUAGACUUCUUCUAAGCAUUGACCGACGAGAGACCACUGAAGAUGCCAUGGAAACUGUGAAGCUUGCAUUGGAAUUGAAAGAUGCAGGAGUAGUUGGUAUUGAUCUUUCAGGAAAUCCAAUUGUGGGUGAAUGGACCACCUUUUGGCCGGCUCUUCAAUUUGCAAAAGAAAAUGGCCUUGCCAUAACACUUCACUGUGGCGAGGUACCUAAUCCAAAGGAGAUACAAGCUAUGCUAGACUUUUGGCCUCAGAGGAUUGGCCAUGCUUGUUUCUUUGAAGGAGAAGACUGGGAAAAGCUGAAAUGUUUGAACAUUCCGGUUGAAAUUUGCUUGACAUCCAACAUCCGAACCAAUUCAAUCUCUUCACUAGAUGUUCAUCACUUUGCAUAUCUGCUUAUUUUCUGUGACCAAAAGUUAGAAUCACCGUUGUAACAACCUGUGAUUGGCAAUGCAGCUGACUUGUACAAAGCAAACCAUCCUUUAGUAAUAUGCACUGAUGAUUCUGGGGUUUUCUCAACAAGCGUUUCAAAAGAAUACAGUUUGGCAGCCUCUGCGUUUGGUCUUGGAAAAAAGGAAAUAUUUCAGUUGGCAAGAGAUGCUAUUGAAUUUAUAUUUGCAGAAAAUGAAAUAAAGAAGAUUCUGAAACAGGUGUUUGAUUCUUUCGUUAUGAACCUGGCUCUAUGAUCAUAAGUGCAUUUGAGAUGUUAUUGUAAUGCAUCUUUUAGUAGCUUCCUAGUCCUUGGACGGCAUAUUACAUAUGAAUUUCUGAAGUCUGGAUUCGGACAGCGUGAGAUAAAGUAAACUUUGUGUUCAGCAUUCUUGGAUUAUGAAUAGAAAUCUGAUCGAUUUGAAAAGGCUUCUACUUCUUUUGUGUUGUCUGUUCUUUAAACCUGUAGUCUUUACUCUUCUGAACACUUGUUAAUUUAGAUAUAAUAGAUAUAAGUUGGUUCAUUCGCUCAACUUUCUUUCUCA